rnacentral:lncRNA from 1 species
AUGGUUGUAAGUGAUCCAGACACUCGAUCGAAUGGUUCAGGUGAUUUUUGACUGAGAGAAGAGUUCUAAAGGCUUUAAAAGCAUGAUCUGAUGACUUCAAUUUGAUCUGGGCCAAGAUUCGAUGAUUGAGAGCACUACCGACUUGUUUGGGAACAUUUUGAGCUAAUUUUUGGGCCAUUUGAUCAUCAUCGGAUGGUGGGCAUGGGUUGAGGUGUUUGAAUACAAUUAAAACUCUAAUUUUAUUUCGAUUUCAGCUGGAUUUAAGCCUAUAAAAUGGGUAACACGGAUCCAAAGAGAGGGGAGCAAAAAAAUAGAGGCCAAGGUGUUAAAUUUGUACCC